UAGGGAAUUUUCGUCAAUGGGGGGAACCCUGAACGAGCAAUGCCGCGUGUGUGAAGAAGGUCUUCGGAUCGUAAAGCACUGUUGUAAGUGAAGAAUGCCAUAUAGAGGAAAUGCUAUGUGGGUGACGGUAGCUUACCAGAAAGCCACGGCUAACUACGUGCCAGCAGCCGCGGUAAUACGUAGGUGGCAAAGCGUUAUCCGGAAUCAUUGGGCGUAAAGGGUGCGUAGGUGGCACGAUAAGUCUGAAGUAAAAGGCAACAGCUCAACUGUUGUAUGCUUUGGAAAACUGUCGAGCUAGAGUGCAGAAGAGGGCGAUGGAAUUCCAUGUGUAGCGGUAAAAUGCGUAGAUAUAUGGAGGAACACCAGUGGCGAAGGCGGUCGCCUGGUCUGUAACUGACACUGAUGCACGAAAGCGUGGGGAGCAAAUAGGAUUAGAUACC
rnacentral:rRNA from 1 species